rnacentral:sRNA from 1 species
AAAGAUGCAAAUACACACAUACAUCGUCACGUACCCUCAGGUGCUUUGAAAAAAGUUUGGGUGCGGGGUGUAUGGAGGCUUAAC